AUGAGGGUCCCCACACAGCUCCUGGUGUUGCAGCUUCUCUGCCUUAUAGGUGCCAGAUGUGACAUCCAGGUGACCCAGUCUCCAGCUUCCCUGUCUGCGUCUCUGGGAGAAAGUGUCACCAUGACAUGCAAAGCAAGUCAGGACAUUUACAAUGCUUUAGCAUGGUAUCAGCAGAAACCAGGGGGACCACCUAAGCUCCUGAUCUAUGGUGCAAACAGCUUGGCAGAUGAGGUACCUUCUAGAUUUAGUGGCAGUGGAUCUGGCACACAGUAUUCUCUCAAGAUUAGCAGCCUGCAGUCUGAAGAUGUGGCCACUUAUUACUGUCAACAGGGUUAUACUCUUUCCACAGUGAUACAAGUCAUAACAAAAACCCCCAAGUUAGCAGAAGUGUGUGGCCUAGUUGUCACAGAUGUUCCUCCUGGUGAGUCACCCACUGAAACUGUUUCUUAG